CCUAAACUUGUAGGUUAAAAAUUUCUUCCAGAACCAUGCUUUUGUCUGUUGGUUUCAACUUUGCUGUUUCAGUGUUGCUCUAUUUCUUAGAGUAUUUUUUUUGUUUGUUUUUUGUUUUUUAGUAUGUCAGUUUUAAAAAGUUAAAUCUCAUUUUAUCACAAAGGUUAGCUCCUAAGGUGCAAACUCUAUAUUGUACCUAUAAUCACGCAUUCGACUUAAGACUCCCUGGUGGGUUGCAAGCUGCUGGGAGGCCUCUUUCAUUGUGCUUCCCUGGGUCAAGUAAAAAGUUAUAACCAAGUAAUCAAGGUGAAUCCCAAGUAUAGGUAUAGGUAUAGGUAUAGGUACAGGUAUAGGAAUAGGUAUAGGUACAGGUAUAGGUAUAGGUAUAGGUAUAGGUAUAGGAAUAGGAAUAGGUAUAGGAAUAGGUAUAGGUAUAGGUAUAGGAAUAGGUAUAGGUAUAGGAAUAGGUAUAGGUAUAGGAAUAGGUAUAGGAAUAGGUAUAGGUAUAGGAAUAGGUAUAGGUAUAGGAAUAGGUAUAGGAAUAGGUAUAGGUAUAGGAAUAGGAAUAGGUAUAGGAAUAGGAAUAGGUAUAGAUAUAGGAAUAGGUAUAGGUAUAGGAAUA
ensembl:lncRNA